rnacentral:tmRNA from 1 species
GGGGGUGUACCUGGUUUCGACGGAUAGUGUUGGGUCGCAGGUUGCACGUCAAGUUUUUCUCGGAUGUAUCUUGUAAAAACAACCGGGGUUAAUCGUAAAUGCAAACAAUUACGAAUACCGCAUGGCCGCCUAACAGCCCGUGCCGUUCUGUCUCAUACCUGCCUGCUGGUGUGUUUCAGGGCGUUAUACUUAGCAGGCUAGUGUUGUACAAUGAUUGUACCUGCAACAUGAAUCCUUACAAUCCAGCGAUACGACGCGGGCCUGACCGCCAACCGUAUCGUUAAAUUUAUAGUCAGGCUAAACGUGUAGAUACUUGUUGGUUCUCCUGUUCGGACGCGGGUUCGACUCCCGCCACCUCCACAA